UCGGAUAUGGUGUAACGGCUAACAUUGCCGCCUCUCACCAGUGCGCGAGCGCGGCAGCUCGGGGUUCGAUUCCCCGUAUCCGAA